GAGUUUGAUCCUGGCUCAGGAUGAACGCUAGCUACAGGCUUAACACAUGCAAGUCGAGGGGCAGCAUUUUAGUUUGCUUGCAAACUGAAGAUGGCGACCGGCGCACGGGUGAGUAACACGUAUCCAACCUGCCGAUAACUCCGGGAUAGCCUUUCGAAAGAAAGAUUAAUACCGGAUAGUAUACGAAUAUCGCAUGAUAUUUUUAUUAAAGAAUUUCGGUUAUCGAUGGGGAUGCGUUCCAUUAGUUUGUUGGCGGGGUAACGGCCCACCAAGACUACGAUGGAUAGGGGUUCUGAGAGGAAGGUCCCCCACAUUGGAACUGAGACACGGUCCAAACUCCUACGGGAGGCAGCAGUGAGGAAUAUUGGUCAAUGGGCGCGAGCCUGAACCAGCCAAGUAGCGUGAAGGAUGAAGGCUCUAUGGGUCGUAAACUUCUUUUAUAUGGGAAUAAAGUUUUCCACGUGUGGAAUUUUGUAUGUACCAUAUGAAUAAGGAUCGGCUAACUCCGUGCCAGCAGCCGCGGUAAUACGGAGGAUCCGAGCGUUAUCCGGAUUUAUUGGGUUUAAAGGGAGCGUAGGUGGAUUGUUAAGUCAGUUGUGAAAGUUUGCGGCUCAACCGUAAAAUUGCAGUUGAAACUGGCAGUCUUGAGUACAGUAGAGGUGGGCGGAAUUCGUGGUGUAGCGGUGAAAUGCUUAGAUAUCACGAAGAACUCCGAUUGCGAAGGCAGCUCACUAGACUGUCACUGACACUGAUGCUCGAAAGUGUGGGUAUCAAACAGGAUUAGAUACCCUGGUAGUCCACACAGUAAACGAUGAAUACUCGCUGUUUGCGAUAUACAGUAAGCGGCCAAGCGAAAGCAUUAAGUAUUCCACCUGGGGAGUACGCCGGCAACGGUGAAACUCAAAGGAAUUGACGGGGGCCCGCACAAGCGGAGGAACAUGUGGUUUAAUUCGAUGAUACGCGAGGAACCUUACCCGGGCUUAAAUUGCAACAGAAUAUAUUGGAAACAGUAUAGCCGUAAGGCUGUUGUGAAGGUGCUGCAUGGUUGUCGUCAGCUCGUGCCGUGAGGUGUCGGCUUAAGUGCCAUAACGAGCGCAACCCUUAUCUUUAGUUACUAACAGGUUAUGCUGAGGACUCUAGAGAGACUGCCGUCGUAAGAUGUGAGGAAGGUGGGGAUGACGUCAAAUCAGCACGGCCCUUACGUCCGGGGCUACACACGUGUUACAAUGGGGGGUACAGAAGGCGGCUACCUGGUGACAGGAUGCUAAUCCCAAAAACCUCUCUCAGUUCGGAUCGAAGUCUGCAACCCGACUUCGUGAAGCUGGAUUCGCUAGUAAUCGCGCAUCAGCCAUGGCGCGGUGAAUACGUUCCCGGGCCUUGUACACACCGCCCGUCAAGCCAUGAAAGCCGGGGGUACCUGAAGUACGUAACCGCAAGGAGCGUCCUAGGGUAAAACUGGUAAUUGGGGCUAAGUCGUAACAAGGUAGCCGUACCGGAAGGUGCGGCUGGAACACC
rnacentral:rRNA from 2 species